GGUGAACAUCGCAGAAACACUUUCUCCGAUUUAAAACUUAAAAAUUCCUUCAAAUUUUCCGAAACAAAUCAAGACGGCUGCAGCAGAAGAGGUGACUGACUCCUCCGCCCAUGAGGUGCGGAAGCGCCGAGAAUGAUGAGUGCCAGUCUUCAAAAUGACGAGGUGGCAGUGCCCAGUUUAAGCAGGGUCAUGGAACAACUCUUCCCUCCUUGAAAAGACCUCCAUGGAGACAGAAAUAACUCUGGGCCAAGUCUCAGUAGAACAAUACCUGAACCUGACUUCACCAACCAGGGAAGGACACGUUUUCCAGUGGUCAUUCGGCCAUUCUGCUACACUGGGAUACGAAUCCUACCAAACUGCAGCGCCACCUGUUCACAAAUGUAGUGCCUUCAUAGCUUUUUGUUAGAAAUAUCUUUUUGUAAAACCUAUUAGUGAUUUUUAAAUAUCGACAGAUGAAGAUACCAGUUCAAGUUGAAGAUUUGAAUUUGUCCUAAUCAUUCCAAAUGCUGAUUGAAAGUUUCACAAUCAGUGAUUGUUUGUACAUUUCAUCAUUGGUGUCCGUUCAUAAUCCAGGACAAAAUUUGACACGUCCUUCCUGUGCUGGUCGUUCAAAUUGCAUUAGCCCGUUGAUCAGUGAUGUCUUUAACGUGGCGUUGAGUUGAUUGGACUUAACUGCAUGAGGUAACGCCAAGUAAGUGUCUUGACUUUGUCGGCAACAAGCGGUUCCUGUGAAGAACAAUCAGGACCAAGUGUGUUGUCGCACCACUUUCGCUGUCACAAUCACAUCAACAUUAUCAGGACGAUCAGGUCACAGAUUGCCGAUACUUCAGGGGAGUCGGGGGAAAAACUCUGGUGUAAAGGCAGAAAAUUUCCCCUGGAAAAAGUGUCGGGGCCUAUUGUAUUCUGUCGGAUUAUGCUAUGACCGCCAAUAGCUCCAGAUUAAGGUGAGAGAUAGAAUGCUUGGUUCUCGGACAUUCUAUCCCCGGCUGUAGAAACUCCCAGAAAAAAGUUGU